AUGAAUGUGUUUGCCUUAGAUAGUAGCACACACAGUUUAUCCCCAACUGCAGGAGGGAAAGCAAAUUCUCACAUCCCCUGACUUGACGGGCGCUUGAAUUGCAUGAGGUCAAUAGGACUUUGAGUCUGGGCUUUCCACCAGUCCCCUCCAUUUUACAGAUGAGACCCAGAGAGCUGUGAUCCCCCCGCCCAAGAACACAUCUUGGAUUAGCUGCAGAAUUGGAAUUAGAACCCAGGGCUCCCUCUGCCUAGCCCAGCAUCUUCAGGUUGUCCCCUUAGGCAGAAUCCUGGCCAUACUCUGCCACUUACCCAACCUGUGCUCUGGGUAGUGAACAGUUAGCCUAGUGGACUCUGGGAAGAACAUUAGAAGAAGGAAAUGGAGAAACGGACAAGCUUCAGAAUAGGACCGAUAAGCCACCAGCUGUUGUGAAGCACUUGCAAUUGCAAUGAUUCCUUGGGCUCCGCACCCUCCCGGUGAGGCAGGUGGAGCAGGUUUUAUCGUCCAGCUGAAGAGACCUUGGCCGCAAGAGGUCACGUGGCUUACACGCAGCUGCGCUGCAAGUCGAAUCCAGAGGCUGCAGGCCAUGGGAGGAGGUGUCGUGUGGGCAGGCGUCUCUGCUGGGUGGGCAGCCAGCCCUGCGCUUCUGCGCUGGGCAGAAGAGUCUCCUUCCUUCAUAAUCCACAGAGGCCUUGAGGAGUCUUUGGGACGCAAAUGGAAAGUGUUCAUUCAGCCUGGCUUAGUAAGGCAGCAUCAACAAGGCAAGUGUACAAUGAUUGCUCCCACUCUGCCAGUGAGGAAACCAAAGCCCGGGAGGACUGCUGUCUUACGGGGUGGCCGCGGAGCUGGGACGUGCACCCAGGCUCCUGGGCUCCGGCCGCAAGGAGAGUGACCACUGCCCAUACUGCCUUGAGCGGGUUCUGGAAGAAAUACUAAUGUGUUUGAAUCCAGGAUGCUGAGCACAGUCUGCUGGGGGCGUUCCCGAAUAUGUGGUACAGGCCCUGUGCUGAUUUUCUCCAAUGUAAACAAUUACAAAACAGAUCUGACCCCAAAGGCAUCAUUAGAGGUUUAAACUUGCAUCUUCUUCCCUCUGGACCACUCUCUCUACUUCUGGUCUGCUUCUAACCCCAACUGCUCAAAUAGCUCUUGGGCAUCUAAAAUCAGCCUUUCUCCUCCGAAGAAGUGCAUAUACACCCACAUGCCAUGGGCCUCCCGGAAUACCUGUCUCCCUUGGCCAAACUCCUUUGCUCCCCACGAUUCCUCCACUCUACUUGCUGCCAAUCCCAUCGAAUUUUGGUGCACUUUGCCCUGUGCCCUUGUUGAGAAGAUGGCCUUUGGAGAUGUGCCCUCUGAACUGCCCUGGCAGUAUGGUCUGAGCUCGCCGUGACCUGCCCAUGAGCUGCGGGAUUAUUGCAAGAAGUCUCUGUGGCCCUGACUGGUGUGGCUCAGUUGGUUGGGGCGUCGUCCCAUACACCAGAAGGUGGUGGGA